rnacentral:rRNA from 1 species
AUUGAACGCUGGCGGCAGGCCUAACACAUGCAAGUCGAACGGUAACAGGAAGAAGCUUGCUUCUUUGCUGACGAGUGGCGGACGGGUGAGUAAUGUCUGGGAAACUGCCUGAUGGAGGGGGAUAACUACUGGAAACGGUAGCUAAUACCGCAUAACGUCGCAAGACCAAAGAGGGGGACCUUCGUGCCUCUUGCCAUCGGAUGUGCCCAGAUGGGAUUAGCUAGUAGGUGGGGUAACGGCUCACCUAGGCGACGCUCCCUAGCUGGUCUGAGAGGAUGACCAGCCACACUGGAACUGAGACACGGUCCAGACUCCUACGGGAGGCAGCAGUGGGGAAUAUUGCACAAUGGGCGCAAGCCUGAUGCAGCCAUGCCGCGUGUAUGAAGAAGGCCUUCGGGUUGUAAAGUACUUUCAGCGGGGAGGAAGGGAGUAAAGUUAAUACCUUUGCUCAUUGACGUUACCCGCAGAAGAAGCACCGGCUAACUCCGUG